AAAUCCUAGGGUUUAAUUCGGGCAUAGGGUUUAUAGGUUUAGGGUUCUUGGCAGCUAUGGCGAAGGCGGCGAAGGCCGCCGCCAAGGAAUUCGCGGCGCACAUCCGGCUGACAGUGAAUGCGGGGCAGGCGAAGCCGGGGCCUCCCGUCGGGCCGGCGCUGGGGCAGCAUCGGCUGAACAUCAUGGCGUUUUGCAAGGAUUUCAAUGCGCGGACGCAGCACAUCCGGGCCGACGUCCCCAUGUCGGUGCUCAUCACCGCGUACAAGGAUAGUACGUUUGAUUUCGUGCUCAAGUCGCCCAAGACGAGCUACUUCUUGAAGAAGGCCGCGGGGCUGGAGAUUGGGGCUCACAAGCCGGGGCACGAAUCGGUGGGGACUGUCACCUACAAGCACAUCUACGAGAUCGCCAAGAUCAAGAAGACGGAUGCCAACUGCAAGGACAAGCCGCUGGAGGGGAUUUGCCGGUCGAUCAUGGGGACUGCCAGAUCCAUGGGAGUAGCAGUGAAGCACGAAGUAGACAAGUGAUGGGAAAGUUUGAUCUUUUCCUCGUCCUCGCUCUCUAACCUGAGGAUUGUUUCUUUGUUUCUUCUGCGUGAGCGUUCUUGACUGAAGGAACGCAAAGGUGAUACGGUAUUUUUCUCCUUGUCUUUCAUCAAGGAUUUGUAAAAAUUUAAUGUCUUUGAGGAUGGAAACACAUCAUAAGCUUGACGAGUUGGAAGCGUGCAAGAAAGUGCUGUAAUACCAGAUGGACAGUGUGUGACAAUAUGUUAUUGUCGUGAUAACAAAAGCACACAGAAGUAAAAUAUCGCGGGCCAAAGAUUAAAACUGCUUCCGUGGCUGUUUUGUCGA